UAAUGUAUGGGGAUCUGCCCGAUGGAGGGGGAUAACUACUGGAAACGGUGGCUAAUACCGCAUAAUGUCUACGGACCAAAGCAGGGGCUCUUCGGACCUUGCACUAUCGGAUGAACCCAUAUGGGAUUAGCUAGUAGGUGGGGUAAAGGCUCACCUAGGCGACGAUCUCUAGCUGGUCUGAGAGGAUGAUCAGCCACACUGGGACUGAGACACGGCCCAG
rnacentral:rRNA from 1 species